rnacentral:rRNA from 1 species
GAUGAACGCUGGCGGCGUGCCUAAUACAUGCAAGUCGAACGGACGGACGAGAAGCUUGCUGCUCUGAUGUUAGCGGCGCACGGGUGAGAAACGCGUGGAUAACCUACCUAUAAGACUGGGAUAACUACGGAGAACCGGCGCUAACACCGGAUAAUAUUUUGAACCGCAGGGGUCAAAAGUAAGAGACGGUCUUGCGGGCUCUAAUAGAUGGAUCCGCGCUGCAUUGGCUAGUUGGUAAGGUAACGGCUUACUAAGGCAACGAUGCAUAGCCGACCGGAGAGGGGGAUCGCCCACCCUGGAACUGAGACAGGGUCCAUACGCCUACGGGAGGCCGCAGUCGGGAAUCUUCCGCAAUGGGCGAAAGCCUGACGGAGCAACGCCGCGUGAGUGAUGAAGGUCUUCGGAUCGGAAAACUCUGUUAUUAGUGAAGAACAGAUGUGUAAGGAACUGUGCAGAUCUUGACGGUACCUAAUCAGAAAGCCCCGGCUAACUACGUG